rnacentral:rRNA from 1 species
UAAUACGAAGGGGGCUAGCGUUGUUCGGAAUUACUGGGCGUAAAGCGUUUGUAGGCGGUUAUACAAGUCAGUGGUGAAAGCCCAGGGCUUAACCCUGGAAUUGCCAUUGAAACUGUAUAGCUAGAGAGUGUUAGAGGUUAGUGGAAUUCCUAGUGUAGGAGUGAAAUCCGUAGAGAUUAGGAGGAAUAUCGAUGGCGAAGGCAGCUAACUGGGACAUUUCUGACGCUGAGAAACGAAAGCGUGGGUAGCAAACAGGAUUAGAUACCCUGGUAGUCCACGCCCUAAACGAUGGGUGCUAGACGUCGGGACAUUAGUCUCGGUGUCGCAGCUAACGCGUUAAGCACCCCGCCUGGGGAGUACGGUCGCAAGAUUA